CGCCUCGCGUUUUGGGGGGCUCCUUUUUUCCCACCCCUGCGCGAAUCCAGGGGAUUUCUCCUGCCUUUUUCUCUCUCUCUCUCCCCGUGUGGGUGUAGGACGAGAGGGGCAGCAGGAGGCGGCGUCGGCGGCGCGCGGGGAGGUGAGAUGGCGCGGGAGAGGCGGGCGAUACGGCGGAUAGAGAACGCGGCGGCGCGGCAGGUGACCUUCUCCAAGCGCCGCCGCGGGCUGUUCAAGAAGGCGGAGGAGCUGGCGGUGCUCUGCGACGCCGACGUCGCGCUCAUCGUCUUCUCCGCCACCGGCAAGCUCUCGCAGUUCGCGAACACCAGUAUGAAUGAUAUCAUUGACAAGUACAGUACACAUUCUAAGAAUCUGGGGAAAUCACAUCAGCAGCCUUCUAUCGAUUUGAAUGUAGAGCAAAGCAAGUAUAGCGGUUUGAAUGAACAACUCGCAGAAGCAAGUCGUGGACUUAGACAGAUGAGAGGUGAGGAGCUUGAGGGAUUGAGUGUAGAGGAACUGCACCAAUUGGAAAGGAAACUUGAAGCAGGACUGCAUAGAGUGCUUAGUACAAAGGACCAGCUAUUCAUGCAACAAAUCAGCGAAUUACAGCAAAAGGGCGCACAGCUUGAAGAUGAGAACAGCCUUCUGAAAAAACAAGUGCCUCAGGUGAUAACAGCUGGCGCGGCAGUGGUUGCUGCUGAUACAGAAAAUGUCCUCACCGAAGACGGACAGUCGUCUGAAUCUGUGAUGACUGCUUUGCAUUCAGGAAGCUCGCAUGACAAUGAUGAUGGUUCUGAUAUAUCCUUGAAACUAUCGUGAGUUUACUCCGAAGAUCUUAUGCAUAAAUCUUGCGUGAGCAAGAGCAAAGAAGCUUUUAGAGAACUUGCAACAUACUAUACCUUUUAAGGCUAUCACUUUGAUUGGAGUCUGUCUAUUAUGAACUCAUUGCCCCUGCAGGUUGCCUUAAAAGCAAGGACCACCAUGAUCUGCAUGACUGGUACUCAGAAGAGGAAGACUGGAAUAGUCCCAAACUCGAGACCGGGUUAACCAGAGCUGCUAUCUGCAGCUUAAAGUUGCAGUCCUAAAUUUGUAAUGUUGUAUACGUUAUCUCCGUUCUAAAAUCUUUGUGUAUUAUUUGUCGCCUGUGCUACACUAUUGUUCAUGUCAUUGUACUUGUUGACUUUUAUAUGAAACCUUUGCCCUAGAGCUUACAAA